rnacentral:rRNA from 1 species
CCCGCUGAACUUAAGCAUAUCAAUAAGCGGAGGAAAAGAAACCAACAGGGAUUGCCUCAGUAACGGCGAGUGAAGCGGCAACAGCUCAAAUUUGAAAUCUGGCUCUUUUAGGGUCCGAGUUGUAAUUUGUAGAGGAUGCUUCGGCGUCGGCUCCGGUCUAAGUUCCUUGGAACAGGACGUCAUAGAGGGUGAGAAUCCCGUAUGUGAUCGGUUGCCCUUGCCAUGUGAAGCUCCUUCGACGAGUCGAGUUGUUUGGGAAUGCAGCUCUAAAUGGGAGGUAAAUUUCUUCUAAAGCUAAAUACUGACCGGAGACCGAUAGCGCACAAGUAGAGUGAUCGAGAGAUGAAAAGCGCUUUGGAAAGAGAGUCAAAAAGUACGUGAAAUUGUUGAGAGGGAAGCGCUCGCACCCAGGCCGCCCUGCAGUUGCUCAUGCGGGCUUUCGCUCGGUGCACUCGUAUGAUGUCAGGCCAGCAUCAGUUCGGGCGGUGGGAUAAAGGCUUCGGGAAUGUAGCUCCUCUCGAGGAGUGUUAUAGCCCGUUGCGAAAUGCGGCCAGCCUGAACUGAGGUCCGCGCUUCGGCUAGGAUGCUGGCGUAAUGGUUGUAAGCGGCCCGUCUUGAAACACGG